CCUGGUUGCUCCUGCCAGUAGUCAUAUGCUUGUCUCAAAGAUUAAGCCAUGCAGUUGUAAGUAUGAACGAAUUAAGACUGUGAAACUGCGACUGGCUCAUUAAAUCAGUUUAUCGUUUCUGUUUGAGGUUAACUACUACUCGGAUAACCGUAGUAAUUCUAGAGCCAAUACGUGCAACAAACCCCGACUUCUGGAAGGAUGCAUUUAUUAGAUAAAAAGUCGACGCGGGCUCUGCCGCUUGCUCUGAUGAUUCAUGUUAACUCGACGGAUCGCAUUGCCUUAGUGCUGGCGACCCAUCAUUCAAAUUUCUGCCCUAUCCAAUUUGUGGUAGGUGAGUGGCCUACCAUGGUGGUAACUGGUGACGGAGAAUUAGGGUUCGAUUCCGGAGAGGGAGACUGAGCAACGGCUACCACAUCCAAGGAAGCCAGCAGGCGCGCAAAUUACCCAAUCUUGACACGGGGAGGUAGUGAUAAUAAAUAACAAUACCGGCUCUUUGAGUCUGGUAAUUGGAAUGACUACAAUCUAAAUCCCUUAAAAAGGAUCCAUUGGAGGGCAAAUCUGGUGCCAGCAGCCGCCGUAAUUCCAGCUCCAAUAGCGUAUAUGUAAUUUGUUGCAGUUAAAAACCUCGUAGUUGAACAUUGGGAUGGGUUGCCCGGUCCGCCUUUGGUAAGCACCGGUCGGCUUGUCUUUUCUGUCGGCGAUACGCUCCUGGGCUUAACUGGGCGGGUCGUUCCUCCGGCGCUUUUACUUUGAAGAAAUUAGAAUGCUCAAGCAAGCUUACGCUCUGUAUACAUUAGUAUGGGAUAACAUCAUAGGGUUUCGAUCCUAUUGUGUUGGCCUUCGGGAUCAUAGUAAUGAUUAACAAGGACAGUCGGGGGCAUUUGUAUUUCAUAGCCAGAGGUGAAAUUCUUGGAAUUAUGAAAGACGAACAACUGCUAAAUCAUUUGCCAAGGAUUUUUUCAUGAAUCAAGAACGAAAGUUGGGGGCUCGGAGACGAUCAGAUAACGUCAUAGUCUCAACCAUAAACGAUGCCGACUAGGGAUCAGCGGAUGUUUGUUUUAGGACUCGCUGGCACCUUAUGAGAAAACAAAGUUUUGGUUCCGCGGGAGUAGGUCGCAAAGGCUGAAACUUUAAAGGAAAUUGACGGGAGGGCACCACCAGGAGUGGAGCCUGCGGCUUAAUUUGACUCAACACGGGGAAACUUACCAGGUCCAGAAAUAGUAAGGAUUGAAAGACUGAGAGCUCUUUCUUGAUUCUAUGGGUUGUGGUGCAUUGCCGUUCUUAGUUGGUGGACCGAUUUGUCUGGUUAAUUACGUUAACGAACGAGACCUCAGACUGCUAAAUAGCUACGUGGAGGGAUCCCUUCACGGCCGGCUUCUUAGAGGGACUAUGCGCGUUUAGGCCAAGGAAGCUUGAGGCAAUAAAAGGGCUGUGAUGCCCUUACAUGUUCUGGGCCGCACGCACGCUACAGAUGUAUUCUACGAGUUCACACCUUGGCGGACAGGCGCGGGUAAUCUUUGAAAUUUCAUCGUGAUGGGUGUAGAUCAUUGCAAUUGUGGUUCUUCAACGAGGAAUCCCUAGUAAGCGGCGACGUCAUCAGCUCGCCGUGACUACGUCCCUGCCCUUUGUACACACCGGCCGUCGCUCCUACCGAUUAAAUGAUCCGGUGAAGUGUUGGGAUCGCGGCGGCGUGGGUGUUUCGCCGUCUGCGACGUCGCGAGAAGUCACUAAACCUUAUCAUUUUGAGGAAGGAGAAGUCGUAAAAAGGUUUCCGUAGGUGAAACUGCGGUUA
rnacentral:rRNA from 1 species